rnacentral:lncRNA from 1 species
AGAAGAUGGAACUCGAAAUCCCAAUGAAAAACCUACCCAGCAAAGAAGCAUAGCUUUUAGCUCUAAUAAUUCUGUAGCAAAGCCAAUACAAAAAUCAGCUAAAGCUGCCACAGAAGAGGCAUCUUCAAGAUCACCAAAAAUAGAUCAGAAAAAAAGUCCAUAUGGACUGUGGAUACCUAUCUAAAAGAAGAAAACUGAUGGCUAAGUUUGCAUGAAAACUGCACUUUAUUGCAAGUUAGUGUUUCUAGCAUUAUCCCAUCCCUUUGAGCCAUUCAGGGGUACUUGUGCAUUUAAAAACCAACACAAAAAGAUGUAAAUACUUAACACUCAAAUAUUAACAUUUUAGGUUUCUCUUGCAGAUAUGAGAGAUAGCACAGAUGGACCAAAGGUUAUGCACAGGUGGGAGUCUUUUGUAUAUAGUUGUAAAUAUUGUCUUGGUUAUGUAAAAAUGAAAUUUUUUAGACACAGUAAUUGAACUGUAUUCCUGUUUUGUAUAUUUAAUAAAUUUCUUGUUUUCAUUCUU